UUUGGGGAUUCCGGUGAGGCUGGUAAAAAAGCCUGUUGGGCAGUGUAUGAAUAGUUAAUGACAGUAUGUAAACUUUUAAAGACUGAUACAAAUCACAGCUGAAGAAGGACCUGGAAAGUGAAAUUGCUGCUUUCAGUGCUUGGGCUGAAGCAGUGCGUGCAUGCUCAG
rnacentral:lncRNA from 1 species